UGUAAUAGGAACUGUGCCCCCCGCCACAAAUUUGUCACCAGAGGUUGAAUGAGGAGUGUCAGCUUUAGGACUAGGAAGAUUGUUAAAGAAAUCUUCUCCAUUGUCAGAAGGAAAAAUUGUAGUUUCCUUCUCAGCACCCAAACCAGCUUUGUCAGUUGUUGAAUCCUCAAUCCCAGGUGCAUUGACUUCCGCAGAUAGAUCAUCUUGAACAAUUUCUUUUGUUUCCUCAGGUACAAUGAAACCAAGAUGUGUGAUCAGGUUUCUCCUUGCAGUCCCAUCAUCUUUAAACAUAACCCUUAAUAAGCCCCAUGUUUCCCGGUCAUCAGCAGUCCUGUCAUGAUAACCAUGCAAAAUUGAAGCCAAGAACAAACAUGAUAAAAGUGAAUUGAAGGGAUAGAAAUGGUAUCUCUCCCAAGGCUGAUGAAAACAUUCAUUUCUUAAUGGUAAAUGACAUACUCAGACAUGAGCGAUCCACUAAACUUUGUUCAGUAACCAAGCUGUGCACAUAAACCUGGAAAAUAAAAAAAUAAAAAGCUAUAAAGUGCAUCAUAAAUUCACAAAGCCAAUGCUGGCAGCGUACUAAUAACUUACCUCUGAAGCACCUGCACCAGAUGAACUAGGCUGAAAGGACACGAUCUUGCCUACAAAACCAAAAGACACCGCAUAAAGCAGUAGGGGUAGCCGUAAUAACCGAGACGCCGCAUUAAGCGGGAAGAUGUAAUAACCGAAAGGACGCCGCACGAAACGGGAAUGGGUAAUAACCGAAUGGACGCCGCACGAAACGGGUAUGGGUAAUAACCGAAAGGACGCCGCACGAAGCGGGUAGGGGUAAUAACCGACGGAGGGUAAUAAUGGACGGAACGCCGCACGAAGCGGUAAGGGGUAAUAACCGAAAGGAUGCCGCACGAAGCGGUAGGGGUAGUGACCGACGGGACGCCGCACGAAGCGGGUAGGGGUGAUAACCGACGGGAGGCCGCAUGAAGCGAGUAGGGGUAACAACCGAAGGGAUGCCGCACGAAGCGGGAAAGGGUAAUAACCUAAGAGACGCUGCACGAAGCGGGGAAGGGUUAAUAACCAAAGAGACGCCGAACAAAGCGGAUAGGUGUAAUUGUCAGGACCCACCCCGAAUUUUACCCUAAAACCCGGAGUAAGUCCUGCGAGGACCACUCCCAAGGAAAGAUUUACCGAAAAAUUGGCAAAACCUCCCUUGAAAAUGGACAACCCUUACCUGAAAAAUUUCAAAUUUACACUCCUACUAACACACAUCUAACCUUAACUCCUGGAGCCAUCCGCUCCCCGCAAACACAACCACCACAUAAUCAACAAUACAUCAACAUCCAAACAUCACAUAAAUAUUCAGCUUAAACAUUAAACCUUAUCCUUCAGAUACUCUAAACAGAAAUCAACAGACCGAGCACACCACCGAAAUAAUUUACAUUAAUCCCAAAGUAUUCAGAGCUACUAGACACUAGUGGAAGCAAGAAAACACGGGUAGGUUAAACAGGUAACCUACUGGUGAAAAGUGGAGGAAAUGCGGGUGACUAUGCCUCGCCUCCUACUAGAUCCAACCCGAACUCUACAGACUGGGCAAUUUAAAACAAAUAGCCCAGGGGAAAACAUUUAAUAACGUUAGAGUGAGUGGACAAAAAUAAAUUAAUAAAUAAAAUAUUUAUGUUUCCCCAAAUCAAUUUCCAAAGAAAAAUCGAAUACAUGCCGCAAGUAAUAAAACUUUUAUCUUAUAAAAUAUCGAGCCUCUCAGGCUCUAUAAUAUAUGUAUGUAUUUACACACGUCCAUACUCCCUAUAUAAAUUCAUGGGUCUAUAUAGGGCUGCAACGCUCGCGUCCAAUGCUCACGUCACGCCUUAAUGCGGUGCUACACUACGCCAUUAAGGUGGACAGACGGGUGUAUAAAUAUGUGUCCAUACCCCCUGUAUAAAUUAAACACUCAUGUAGGGCUACUACGCUCACGUCCAACGCUCACGUCACAUCAUAAUGCGGCUAUAUGCUACGCCAUUAAGGUGGACAGACACAUAUGGCUAGCUAGCAUUUAUAUACAUACUCUCCUCAAUAUACAUAUUAUACUUACCGAAAAAUCCCAUUUUUCAGUAACUCUCCAAGAGAAAUAAAAGCGUCAAAAUUAAAUGACGUCAAAACUCCAACAAUUUUAAAUGUUCAACCAAAACCAUAGCAUGCACAUUAUUUAAAAUAAAAGUCCACUCACAAAUUAGGCCUAAGCCUGAUGUCGAUCUGGGGCCUCGUUUCAUCGAGCCUCAUCAUGUCCUGUUCCAAAUAUAAUAUUAAUUUCCCAACCGAAAUUCCAAUACUUACUCAAAAAUAGGCAAAAUAAAUAUGAGCCGUAACCAAGCUCAUUCUCGCCUAACAUCGAUAUUCCUAAAUCGAAACGAUCCAAACUUUAAUACCAUAAUAGGCAGCCUUAACACAACCUCCCACAGAUUUAACGACUUUAAAUCCUACAGCCGGAUUCUACAUUAAUUAACCGCUAAAAAUACCAAACUUCGGAAAAUCUCAAACCUAUCCAAAACUCAUCAAAAAAUUCCAUAAUUCACAUCAAUAAACUCCUCUUAAUUUUCCACAUUUAAAACAAAAAAAUCUCCCACACAGCGGCGGCGGCCGGAGGCCGACUCCGGCGACCUCCAAUGCCUAAGAAAUUUUGACAGCAUCUUCCUCUCAACCCCCUCUACAACUUUCUUAACUAGCACAAACACCAAUUCCAAGCCUAACUAGGUCAAUUGAGCAAAAACAUCCUAAAAGCCUAAAAAAUUCAACUCCACAUUUCUCCUUACCUAGCUCAAGAGAGGGUGAGACCUUUGGAGGGGUUGUUGCACGGGUGGAGGGCUCUCUUUUGAGCCAAGCAGCUCCGGCUAUGGCGGCCGGAGAAGGAAGUUCCGACGAGAAAACCACCACGACAGUCGGACCUCUCGGGGGUGAGAACUCGUUCACGGCGGAGCUAGGGCGGCUCUCACCGGCCUAGAAUGGAAGCUGGGUUGGAGGCCGACCGAACGGGACCGGUGCGGCGGCGGUUGGUGGCCGGAAGACGGCGAACGGUCGGGUUGAAGUUUCGGCAAGGUGAUGGCUUAGGAGGAAGACCGGGAGAGAGAAAGAGAAAAGAAAGAGAGGGAGAUGGGUUUGGGCCUCUCCAAACCGGUCCAACACCUAUAUACCCACACCAACUCCAAAAUAAAACACACCGAAAAAUAAAUACACUAAUAAAAAUUACCUUUUACUAGUUAAAAUUUACCAUUUUUACCGUCGUCAUAUUUUUCUCCUACGAAUAAUCCUCCGAAAAUACAUGUCCCCCAAACCCCUCUAGGGACCAAUUAAACUAUAACCUCAAUGACGGAGACGGUAAAAUUAUUAUUAUAACCAAGCUAGUAAAUAAGGUAAAAAUUUAAGGGUCGGGAUGUGACAGUAAUAACCGAAGGGACGCCGCACGAAACGGGAAGAGGUAAUAACUAAAGGGACGCCGCACGAAGCGGUAAGGGGUAAUAACCGACGGGACGCCACACGAAACGGUAGUGUAAUAACCGAAAGGACGCCGCACGAAGCGGUUAUGGGUAAUAACCGAAGGGACGCCGCACAAAGCGGUAGGGGUAAAAACCGACACAACGUCGCACGAAACGGGUAGGGGUGAUAACCGAAUGGACGCCGCACGAAACGAGAAGGGGUAAGAACCGAUGGGACGUUGCACGAAACAAGAAAGGAUGAUAACCGAAGGGACGUCGCACGAAGCGUGAAGGGGUAAUGACCGAAGGGACGCCGCAUGAAACGGUAAGGAGUAGUGACAGACGGGACGCCGCACGAAGCGGUAGGGGUCAUAACCGAUGGGACGCCACACGAAGAGGUUAGAGGUAAUAACCUAAAAGACGCCGCACGAAGCGGUAAGGGGUAAUAACCGACGGGAUGCCGCACGAAGCGGUAGGGUAGUGACCGAAGGGACGCCGCACGAAGCGGGUAGGGAAUAACCGAUGGGACGCCACACGAAGCGAAAAGGUAAUAACCGAAGGGAUGCAGCACGAAGCGGGGAAGGGGUAAUAACCGAAGGGAGGCCACACGAAAAGGGAAGGAGUAAUAACCGAAGGCAAGCAGCACGAAGCGGUAAGGGGUAAUAACCGAUGGGACGCCACACGAAACGCUAGCAUAAUAAUCGAAAAGACGCCGCACGAAACGGUUAUGGGUAAUAACCGAAUGGACGCCACACAAAGCGGUAGGGGUAAAAACCAACAGAACGCCGCACAAAGCGGGUAGAGGUAAUAACCAAAGGGUCGCUGCACGAAAUGUUAAUGGGUAAUAACCGAAUGGAUGCCGCAGGAAGCGGGGAAGGGGUAAUAACUGACGAAACGUCGCAUGAAGCGGUAAGGGGUAAUAACCGAAGGGACGCCGCUCGAAGCGGUAAGGGGUAAUAACCGACGGGACGCCGCACGAAGUGGGUAGGGGUAAAAACCGACAGAACGUCACACGAAGCGGGUAAGGGUAAUAACCACAGGGUCGCCGCACGAAGUGUUAAGGGGUAAUAACUGAAUAGACGCUGCACGAAGCGGGAAAGGGGUAGUAACCGAAGGACGCCGCACGAAGCGGAAAAGGGUUCUUUAAGAGUUAUGAAAAGAAUAAUUACUUAGUGUUUUAAGUCUUGAAUGUGUUUGUGUAUUUAAGUCUCAAGUAUUUUUAAGAGUCUUAUUAUUAAUAAGUUAUACAAGCCUUAUGGUAUUCUAGGAAACCAGAGGUUUUAUUUAAAGCCUAUAAAUGACUUUCUAAUGUACUCCGAAGAGAAGAUUGGAAUGAAUUAAGAUUUUAGUUAUUGAAGGCUUGGCCUUGUUCCUCCCCCCUAACCUCUCUCAUUUUAUUUCUCUCUUCUAAAGCUAAGAAACCCCUAUCCCUUCCGAAACCCUUAUGUUUUCUUAAUCUGUUUUUUUAAUCGCUCGACAUUCUCCAACCACACUAUUCUCUAUCAUUGACUAUUGGCCUCUCCCUGCAUUAAUGAUAAUUCACCAAUUUUGGUAGUAUAGAAAUAUCAAAGAGAGAUAUAAAGUGCGAAAAAAAGGAAAGACUUGAACAGAAAAAGUUUUACCUGAUAUGUUUCUACUCAUAUGUCACUUCAGAUAUGGAAAAAACAUGCAUACAACACGAAUGUCCCCAACAUUUAAAUUCAGCAGAAAAAUUAUAAGUCAAGAUGGGAUUACCUCAAGUACCAUGUGAAGCAAUUGGAAAGCGGCAGCAUCCCAUUAUCUCUUAAAGUGAAGCGGAGUUCCUUAGAAAUAAAUUCCCUCAGUGGACUCCGAUGAGCAAUUACUAGAGUGGUUCCCACAGAAAUUUCUACCUGAGAACAAUGAUGCAUAUACAUAAGACAAUCUCAGCAAAAAUGAGUAAGCUCCGAUACAAUUAUCAAACAAUGAUUAUGCAAUACCAUAUAUAAUGAUCUAAGUAUAUUUCUCAUAUUACCAUGCCAUGUAAAGUUGUAAACAUCUUGCAACUACAGCAAUGUAACUUGGCCUUAAUGAUUCAGAGUCUUUACCUAUUUAAGUCUUAAGUAUUUAAGAGUCUUAAAGUCUUAAGUGUAUCUUUACCUAUUUAAGAGUCUUAUUAUUAAUAAGUUAUAUUAGUCUUAUAGUAUUCUAGGAAACUAAGGGUUAUAUUUGAAACCUAUAAAUGACUUUCUCAUGUAAUCCGAAGCGCAUAUUGGAAUAAAUUAAGAUUUUAUCUUCUUGAAGGCUUGGCCUUGUUUCCUCUCUCCUAACUUGCUUCAUUCUAUUUCUCCCUUCUACAGCUAAGAAACUCUUGUCCCUUCUAAAACCCUUAUGUUUUCUUAAUCUCUCAACAUUCUCCAACCCACCUUUUUCACUCUAUCUCUAACAAUUGGCCUCUCCCUGCAUCCAAGAUAAUCCACCAUUUUUGUCUCAGUCAACUACGAUCUAUAUUUCACAAAAGAAGAAAAAGAAAGAUAGCUCAAACUAUUUGUUGAUACACUGAUGUUGAUAAUGUUCUAAGAAUCAGGAUCAUUAUUUCUGAGCAUUAUCAUGCAGAUACAUAUUUAAAAGCAAUAAAAAUUACUUCCUAUUUUCUAGUUAACACUACUUAGCUGACGAAAAUAAAAAAAACAGGCCGACGAACAAUUUUUUCGUUGGCUAAAGUCCACUUUAGCCGACGAAAUUUUCCUUUGUCGGCUAAUUUAAAUUUCCAUCGGCUAUAGUCAACUUUAGCCGACGAAAUUAAAUUUUCGUCGGAUAAACAAUUUUUUUCGUCGGCUAUAGUCUGUGGACUUUAGCCGACAACAUUAAACAUUCUUUAGCCAACGAAAUUCUUUAGCCGACGAAAUUAAAUUUCGUCGGCUAAAGUGCUUUAUAUUUGCAAAUCUGGACAGCAGCUCAUCUGGGAAAAAAAAACGGGAGAAAAAGUUUGGGUGUUGUCGAAAUCUGUCCAUAAUUAGUUUGUGAAGCUAUAUAUAGGUACGUACGUAUCUGCAUAUGUAUAUAUAUGUUGAUUUUGAGUUUUAUUUGAGUUGAUAGAUUUUGAAUGUGAUUGAAUUGAUAGAUUUUGUAAUACGUUGGAUGUAUAUAUAUAUAUAUAUGUUGAUCGAUUUGGUUGAUGAUUUGAUAAUAUAUAUGAAGUUGUUGUUAAUAAGUAGUAGAUAUAUAUAUAUAUAUNNNNNNNNNNNNNNNNNNNNUGAGUGUUGAUAUAUAUAAUAUUGUUAUGUAUUAUUAAUAUAUAUAUAUAUAUAUAUAUGUGUUAAUUAAUUUGUUAUCAAUUAUUUGUUAUCAAUUUGUUAAUUAAUUAAUAUAUAUAUAUAUAUACUAAAUGAAUUGAGAUUUUAUAUAUGGCAUGAAAUUUAAUUAAUAAUUAGCUAGCGUUAUACAUAUGUAUUUUGUUAUAUUUUCAGGAUAUAUAUGGAUAAGAGUUGGAUUUCGCUUCCAAAAUGGGACAAAAGAUAUGGUAAAUGAGUUAUGAGUUUUCUGGAAUAAGCGCUAGCUAAUGCUAACGGGAAUACAAUUUUCUAUUGCCCGUGCACAAAAUGUCAGUGUCGCAGCGAUAUGCAUCGAUUUGGGAUUGACAAAAUAUGGCAGCACCUGAAGAGUAACGGGUUUUGGGAGAAGUACACAUGUUGGUUAUAUCACGGUGAAACAUCAUCAGGGGGUCCGCAUGAUCAUGGGCAAUUUUCUGAGACGGGCAGUACAUCCAACGAUCCAACAACGGCCUUCAUCAACGACAUAUUUCCUUAUGAUAACGGUGUAUGCGCUCAAGGACAAUAUAUGCCUAACCCGGUGCAGCCCUUCCCUAGAGCUGUCAACACUGCUGGUAUUGACUAGUACAACAAACUGUUUGCUUUCCAACAGACCCCUGUGUACCCCGGUUGUCAGAGGACCAUUCUUGAAAGUGUGAUGGACGUAAUUAAGAUUAAAGUUGAGACAAAAUCGACUGUGAAAGAUGUUGAUGAUUAUCUACAGUACACUGCUUCGAUGCUGCCCCACGGUCAGUGACGUAGCCAGACAUCUCACUUAGAAGGGUCAUAUUUGAUGAACUAGAAAAUUAAAUUAUUUUCAGUCACUCUUCAGCAACAACACAAUUUUGUUUAAAAGAAUGACACAAACUUAAUUUCAACAAUAUUUUUGUUCUAUCAUUAUUAUCUCGAAUAAACUUUGGAUUAGAAUUUCAUGCACGAUAAAUAUUGGAAAAAAAUAUGUUACUUUUUUUUUUUGAGAGAUAAUGCAUGUUGAUGUAUGGUAAACAUUAAUGUGUUGUUUCCAUUUAGUAAGGUAAAAAACCCUUAACACUAUUUGUAUUAAUUGGAUUAAGUAUUUGAAUAGUAUAAAUUUUUAUUUCAUUCUAUUAUUGUUGAAGAAUAUUUAAGACUAAUUAAGAAUUUAUUAGAGAAGAAGGGUCAAUUUAUGUUUUAUUUCCACUAAUAUCCAAUACAAAUGAAGACUAAUUACUCUUUUUGAAAAUUUGAGAGGGUUCAAUUGAACCCUUUGCCCCCUAGCUAGCUACGCCAUUGCCCACGGUCAUCGUCUUCCUACCACUCAUCAUAAGGUCCGAUGUAUCCUGAAAGAUCUUGGGCUUUCCUACAUCAAGAUCCAUGCAUGCAGAUAUGACUGCGUUCUCUUCUGGGGUAAAGAUCCAGAAGGGAAUGACCUUGGUGGCCUUGACGCAUGUCCGGUAUGUCACACUGACAGGUAUAAGCUUACUCCUGCAGGCAACAUGAAACCUGUGAAGGUACUUCGAUAUUUCCCUUUGAGGGAUAGGCUGGAGCGGUUGUACAUGUCUUCACACAUGGCCGAAGCUAUGAAAUGGCACGCUGACAGGGAAUUGCAUGACGAAGAUACCCUUAUACACCCUGACAAGACCCACCCCGAAUUUCACCCUGAAACCCAGAGUAAGUCGUGCGGGGACCACCUCCAAGGAAAAUUUACUGAAAAGAUUAAGAAAAUCUCCCUUGCAGAUGGACAACCCUAACUCGAAAAUUUCAAAUUACACUCUUAAUUUAUCACUUCUGAACCUCGCAUAAUAUACAAAAAUUCUAAAGUAUUCAAAACUACUAAACACAAGCGGAAGCAAGAAAACACGAGUAGGUUGAACAGGUAACCUACUGGCGAAAACUGGCAGAAAUGCGGGUGACUAUGCCUCGUCUCCUACUAGAUCCAACCCGAACUCUGCAGACUGGGCAAUUUAAAACGAAGGGCCCAGGGGAAACAUUUAAUAACGNNNNNNNNNNNNNNNNNNNNNNNNNNNNNNNNNNNNNNNNNNNNNNNNNNNNNNNNNNNNNNNNNNNNNNNNNNNNNNNNNNNNNNNNNNNNNNNNNNNNNNNNNNNNNNNNNNNNNNNNNNNNNNNNNNNNNNNNNNNNNNNNNNNNNNNNNNNNNNNNNNNNNNNNNNNNNNNNNNNNNNNNNNNNNNNNNNNNNNNNNNNNNNNNNNNNNNNNNNNNNNNNNNNNNNNNNNNNNNNNNNNNNNNNNNNNNNNNNNNNNNNNNNNNNNNNNNNNNNNNNNNNNNNNNNNNNNNNNNNNNNNNNNNNNNNNNNNNNNNNNNNNNNNNNNNNNNNNNNCAAAAUUACCCGAGAGCCAUAAUUACGCUCAUCAUUGCCUAACUUCGAUAUUCUUACAUCGGAACGAUCCGAACUUAAAUAUCAUACUCAACAGUCGUAAAUACAACCUCUCCAAAAUACGACUUAAAUCCUACGGCCGGAUUCUACAUUAAUUAACCGCCAAAAAAUACCUAACUUCGGAAAUUCACAAACCUAUCCAAAUUUCAUCCAAAAAUUCCAUAAAUCACACCAAUAUACUCCUCUUAAUAUUCCACAUUUAAAACCCUAAAAAUCUCCUAACCGGCGGCGGCCGGCAGCCGUUUUCCGGCGACCUGCAAAUGUUACCAAAUUUUAACAGAAUCUUCCUCUCAAUCUCCUCUACAACUUUCAUGACUAACACAUCACCCAAUUCCAAGCCUAACUAGGCUAAUCAAACGAAAACAACUUAAACACCAUAAAACUUCCACCUCAAAUUUCUCCUUACCUAGCUCAAGAGGGAGGGAGCUGUUUGGAGGGGUUGUUGCACGGGAGGAGGGCUACGAAACCGUACCAAGCUUGCCCGGAUUGGCGGCCGGAGGAGGAAGUUCCGGCGAGAAAACCGAUUCGGCAGUCGGAGCUUUCGGGUGGCACCGCUCUCUCACGGCGGAGCUAGGGCUCCUCUCACCGGUCUAGAAAUGUUGCUGGGAGGGAGACCGACCGAACGGGACCGGUCCGGCGGCGAACGGAGGUCGGACGGCGGCGGGAGGACAGCCGGAAAACCGGGCAGCGAGAGGCUCGGGGAGAGGAAAAGAAAAGAGGGAAGAAGAGAAAGGGAGGAGGAAAAAGAAAUGGGUUGGGCCUCCACCGGUCCAACCUAUAUCAACCCAAUUCCAAAAAUAAAAACACCCCGAAAAAAUAAUACCCGAAUAAAAAUUACCUUUUACUAGCUAAAAUUUACCAUUUUUACCGUCGUCGAAAAUUCUUCCUUAGAAUAAAUCCCUCAAAAUAUUAGUCCCUCAACACCCUCUGGGAACUAAUUAAAUUACACACUUAGUGACGAACACGGUAAAAACUCUUGAUAUCACUAUGCCAGUAAUAAAGGUAAAAAUUAAGAUUCGGGGCGUGACACACCCUGCUGACGGGGAGGCUUGGAAGUAUAUAGACAGGGAGUUUCCUCAUUUUGCGUCAAAGGUCCGAAAUGUGAGGCUCGGGCUCUCAUCCGACGGGUUCAACCCUUUUGGCAACAUGAGUCUUCAAUACAGUGUAUGACCGGUGAUUUUGGUACCGUACAACCUUCCUCUAUGGAUGUGCAUAAAGAAGGUAUACAAUAUGUUGAGUUUGUUGAUUCCGGGGCCCGGUUAUCCAGCGAAGUGUCUCGAUGUGUAUUUGAGACCUUUGAUUGAAGAGCUUAAGUUUUUGUGGGACGUUGGUCAUCCCACUUAUGACAAGUACAUGCACGAGAUGUUCCAGAUGCAUGUCAUGGUUGUUGGUACCAUCAGUGAUUUUCCUGCCCGUGGGAUGUUGUCGGGCAACGUUGUUAGGGGAUACAAAGCUUGUCCAGAGUGCCUUAGCGAUCAGGGGAGCAGUAGUUAUUGCAACAAGAUAUGCAAAUUGGGUCACCGUACUCUCCUUCAAUAUGAUCACAAAUGGAGACUCGAUACAUAGGCAUUUGAUGGGACCGUAGAAAACGGUGUGCCUCCCAAAAGAUGGACGGGGGAAGAAAUUUUAGCAGUGCUUAAUGAGUACGAUUUUGGGCAACUCAGCAAUCAUCCCAAUAUUGUGGCGGUAAUACAUGAAAGACCCGACAGGUACAAAUUCUGGACACAUAAGAGCAUAUUCUGGGAACUCCCAAACUGGAGUAAGUUGUUGAUCAGGCACUACCUAGAUGUGAUGCACAUAGAAAAGAAUGUUUGCGACAGUGUGGUGGGCACAGUGCUGAACUUGGAGGGGAAGACGAAAGACGGUCCUAAGGCACGCAUUGAUCUAAAAAAAAAUGCAAUUAAGAAGACAUCUGUGAUUGAAAGAAGGGAAGAAACAAAUGCCUCAAGAACGUAAUUUUCAAGUGCAUCAGAAGAACGUAAUUUUCAAGUGGAUGAGUUGUGUGAAAUAUCCUUCAGGCUAUGCAGAAAAUAUAGCCCGGUGUGUGAACUUCCUGGACAAUAAGAUGUACGGGUUGAAGGGUCAUGACUGUCAUAUCCUGCUACAACGUCUCUUCCCUGUUUUCAUUCGACCGUUCCUUCCCCGUCUGGUGGUGGAGCCGUUAGUAGCAUUGACAAGAUUCUUCCAGAAGUUAUGCACACGGGAAGUGAAAAAAUCUAACCUCCGGGAAAUGCAUGAAGACAUCAUUUAUAUCAUGUGUAAAUUUGAGAGGAUAUUUCCUCCAAAUUUUUUGACAUUAUGCCUCACCUGAUGAUCCAUCUUCCCGAGCAAUUGUUGUUUACUGGUCCAGUACACUACACUUGGAUGUAUCCCAUGAAAAGGUACGUUUUUACACCUGAAUUCCUCAAUAUAUAUACAUGUUCAAUAAUCAUAACAUUUUGCAACUUGAUUUAUAGGCAACUUGGAGACUACAAAGAUUAUGUGGCUAAUAAAUCCACGCCUGAAGGAUGUAUAGCUGAAGCAUAUAUUGUGCACGAGUGCGUCACUUGCAUGAAGUUGUAUUUAGGAGCGUUGAAGGAAACUCCGCAAACCAUGCCGGUAGAUGUACCGAAGUUCAAUUUUUCCAUAGUCUCCAGUGAUAUUGAAUUAUGUGGCUAAUAAAUCCACGCCUGAAGGAUGUAUAGCUGAAGCAUAUAUUGUGCACGAGUGCGUCACUUACAUGAAGUUGUAUUUAGGAGCGUUGAAGGAAACUCCGCAAACCAUGCCGGUAGAUGUACCGAAGUUCAAUUUUUCCAUAGUCUCCAGUGAUAUUGAAGUGAAUGGAAUUUUACCAGACUCCUACAAGUUGCAACCACAUGAGCUAGUCAUUGCCCACGAGUGGGUAUUGAUUAACUGUCGAGAAGUUGAAUACUGGAAAGACAUCCAUCUAUAUUGUCCAGACAUUCAAGGUGAUCUCGAGUACCACAUCAGGGAGUUCGCAGAUUAUUUUGGCGGCUGGGUACGUAAUUUAAUAUUUAUGUACGGGUUUAUGUUUAUCCAUAUUUACAGUUGAAUGGUUGGUUGCAGAUGAACCAUAUUCAAUUUGAUGGUCACCCAAAUUGGUCACACGAACUAAGACUUCUAGCGAUGAAGCCGAUAAUGUCAAGAGUUUAUCCGAUGUGCAAGGUGAAUGACGUGCAAUUUAUAUGUGAACAGAGAGACAGCAGACGGAGAACACAGAAUUCUGGGGUCAUGGCGCAUGGUGGGCGGAAUGGAGUUGACUAUUACGGUGUUCUCCAUUCAGUGGUGGAACUCGUUUAUAGGCAAGGAAUGACAGUGCACCUCUUCAAGUGUAGAUGGUUUGAUACUAGGCCGCAGAGCAUGAAGACCGAUCAGUACGGAAUAUUAUCGGUGAACACUGCUACAAGUUGUUACGAAAAUGACCUGUUCGUUUUUGCCACAUCGGUAAAACAAGUGUUUUAUCUUGAUGACCUUGCUAAGGGUGACGCGUGGAAAGUAGUCAACCUUGUGCACCCUCGAAACAUUUACCAGGCGGCUACACUUGGAGAGGCCGAAGACAAGGAAGAAAAUGUUGCGUAUCAAGAGCCCAACGCAAUAGGUAUUCCUAACUCCUCUACCGUUCGCCUUAACAAUUUUAAAGCGGGUCGUUCGGUGCAAAUUCGUGAUGAAGAGCCAAGGCUUAUUGAUGUUGAUUCAAAUCAAGAAACAGACGAAGACUCUGGCGAUGAGGAAAUGCAUAGAUUACCAGAAAUUAAUUCUGACACCGAAGAAGACUCAUCGGAUGAUUCCGAUUACGAGCCUUAGUUUUAAUUUAGAGGACGUAAUACAAUAAUUUGUAAUAAAAAAGAAUGUAUUACCUUUAUAGUUUACAUAUGUUGAAUUCAUGUUUAUGUUAUUUUAUAUGAAUUUUGGUGAUAUAUGAACAGGAAGUUAGUAUGGUUUACAUUAAACCUUCAGUUUUUUUAAUGUAUUUUUUAUACUUUAGCCGACGAAUUAUAGUAUAUUUCGUCGGCUAAAACAAUCUUAGCCGACGAAUUAUAUUUUACGUCGUCGGUUAAGAUCAGGUUAGCCGACGAAUACCCUAAUAUUUCGUCGGCUUUAUUUAUUUUUUUAUUUUUUAUUACAUACUAUAGCCGACGAAUAUAUUAGGGUAUUCGUCGGCUAAAUCCUAAAAUUUUUCUAUUACAUACUAUAGCCCUAUCUUCAGUCGUUAUUUUCCGUAAAAUUUUUAUACUACUUGUUGCGUCUCAUCGAUUUGAAACUAUUUUCAGUUGAAGGUCCGGCGAAAAUACGAAAUUUAGAUGGUCCAACGACCUUUUCCGUGCAUUUAGGGGUUUGACUUACUGGAUUGACCGUCGGGAUCGAGCCCUUAACCUUGUCGGAUCAAGUUGAAUUUUUGCCCAUACAUGUAUUUUGUCAUGAUGGUCAGAUCUGACGGUCGGAUUUCUGUUUCUCAAGUUUGAUCAUCACAAUCACAACAUGCCUACUAAUAUUGUAUAGCUUGUUUACCAAGUGUCAAGUAAAUGUUCCGUUUCAAAAACAAACUAUACGUAGAACCUUCAAACGCAAAAAAGUCGUAAAAUAAGAUAUGACCAGAAUGGUGAAAUACGUCUACGGUUGAAAAAUCAUGGUAUUCCGGUAAAGUCUCGGUGCCGAUAGUUGUGGUCAAUGCAAUUUUCCAUUCUUUCUCCCUAUGGGUAGCCUUAUCUUCGGUGGUUAUUUUCCCCAAAAUUAUUAUACGACUUGUUGUGUCUUAUCGGUUUGAAACUAUCUUCAGUUGAAGGUCCGGCCAAAAUACGUAAUUUAGACGGUCACAAUCACAAUGUGCCGAAUGUAUAAAGUAUUUAAGCCGAUGAAUUUCAAAGUUUAGCCGACGAAUUUCAAAGCUUUAGCCGACGAAUUUCAAAGUUUAGCCGACGAAUUUAGACUCUUAGCCGACGAAAGCCGACGAAGUAAAAAUUUCGUCGGCUAAAGUGGUACAGUAUACAGACGAACCCCAGCGCGAGAACAGCCUCCACCGCGCGAAUUCGAAACCCUAGCCUCCUCCGCCUCCUUGAGCCCUCUCCCGGUCGCCCUUUCCCUCUCCCGGUCUCCCUCUCCCUCCCUCCAGUCGCCCUCUCCCUCUCCUGCUCACUCGGGCUCCGCCUGCUCGUCACUCGCCAGGUGGUGUAAUUCUCUGAUUUUUAUUUCGAUAUGUGCAUUUAGGGUUUCGAAUUUAGGAAUUUAGGGUUUUUAUGCGCUAUUGAUAUUGUGGAUUGGUUUAUGAUGAAUAUAUUGAGAAUUUUGGUGAUAAUCCAUCUAUUGAAUGUUAUUGGUGUGAAUGAUUGAGUUGGUGUUUUGACAAAAAUUUGCAUUAAUUUGAUAGGACGAAAUAAAAAAACUAUGAUCGACGCCGAUUGAUUUUGCAAGUUUUAAUAUAUUGGAUUAUGCAAGUUUUAAUAUAUGGUUUUGUUGGAAUAUUGUGGAUAUUUUCGAUGCCUAUUGAUUUUGUGUAUGACCUACAUGUGGUGUGUCGUUAUUAAGUUUCAUGAUUUUCUUUCUCAGCCUUGAUUCAAAUUAAUAUUUUAAACAGGAUGAGCGGUAAUUUUAGAUCGACGAAGGGUUCGAAGGGCCAAAGGUCCGAAUCGUCUGAAGGAACCUCUAGCAACCCUCAAACGUCGUUUCGGGGCCUCAUGACAGCCAGACGUGCGGCCCUUCUGGAGACGGCGCAGAGGCAGCCGGAGGUGCCCCCUUCAUCGAGGCAGCCGGAGGUGCCCCCUUAAUCGAGGCAGCCGGAGGUGCCCCCGUCAUCGAGGCAGUCGCGCGUCCCUCAUUCCUCGAGGCAGUUGUGGCCUCAGACCCAAACGGAGGUGUCUGCACCCCGUAUGCCUGAGAUACACCGGGCGCCCACUCCGAGUCCUACUACUUCGGAUGGUGGGUCAUCUGGGGUACAGAUGCCGCCGCCUCAUCUGUUCCUUUCGCGGAUGAUACCGGCCUUACCUGCAGUUGAUGGCCCAGGGGCGCCGAUUUAUCCACUGCCCCCGCCAGUGGCUUCAUCAGCGGCGUACCGGUUCGUGCCUUUUGAUAUGCCUCUUAUUUCCGCGAGGGUAUCAUCAUCGGCGACAGAGACGGAAUCUGUCGUGUCUGCCGCAUUGCCCUUAGGUAAUAAAAGAUGAAUGAUUUGUUUUCUUAUAAUUCUCUGAUUUUAAUAAUCAAUUUGGUUUAUCAUGUGAUAGGCACCGUCGGAGCAAAGCCGGCAAAGAAAAAGAGAGGCCCCGUCACAGGGAAGGCUCUCGAGAAGAUGGUCGGUACCUCAGGGAGGAUCGUCAUCCGUACUGACGGGGAUGGCGACAUAGUAUCGGGCGGGAAGUCGAGGACGUACUCCGGCCGCGUGGGAGCGCUCAUUAGUGAUAGAGUCCCUAUGUUGUGGUCAGACUGGGGCGAGGUCCCGCAGGAGGUUAGGAUAUGGUCCACAACGCGAUGUCGGUGAGUUUACAAAAUGCCUCAAUAAUAUUAUGUAUUACAUUGUUGAUUUUUCGAAAAACUAAACUAAUAAACGGUUAAAUGCAGGUGUGGUUUGAGGUUCCCGAGCACCUGAAGAGCAGCUGGGCGGACGUUGUGCAUGGGGGAAGGUACUUUGGGAAGUUAAUGAAAAAACAAAAUUGUAUGUGAUAUUAAUAAUAUUUCUAAUAUUUUUGUUGUAUCUGUAGGUACAAGGAGUGGAAGAACGAGUUGCGGACCCACUGGACUACGUACGGGAACGCACGUUCUGGUACCCCUGUUGAGUUCCAGUACAGGGAGUACGAGUGGCGUUGGCCUCUGACAUCAGAAUUCAACAAGCCUCGUAAACAGGUAUUUAAAAAAAUUAAUUAGUUAAUUUGUCAUUAAGUAUGUGCGUUUUUAAAUAUUUUACUAAUCAGCCCCCUUCUAUUGAGGGAUCCCUAUUUUUGGUCACUUUUUAGGGAUAGGGCAUUACACCACUUCCCAAUUGAAUUUUUACAUCUUCACCGUUCAUAUCUUAGAUCUAUAUGAGUAGAUCACCUCUACAAAAUUUCAUAUGAUUUAGUGAUCGUUAAGGCUUUCAAAAGUUUGAUUUAGUUUUAAUGAUCUUGAACGGUCCAGCUUAUGUCAAACUAAAACCGUUGAAGGUCAUUAAANNNNNNNNNNNNNNNNNNNNNNNNNNNNNNNNNNNNNNNNNNNNNNNNNNNNNNNNNNNNNNNNNNNNNNNNNNNNNNNNNNNNNNNNNNNNNNNNNNNNNNNNNNNNNNNNNNNNNNNNNNNNNNNNNNNNNNNNNNNNNNNNNNNNNNNNNNNNNNNNNNNNNNNNNNNNNNNNNNNNNNNNNNNNNNNNNNNNNNNNNNNNNNNNNNNNNNNNNNNNNNNNNNNNNNNNNNNNNNNNNNNNNNNNNNNNNNNNNNNNNNNNNNNNNNNNNNNNNNNNNNNNNNNNNNNNNNNNNNNNNNNNNNNNNNNNNNNNNNNNNNNNNNNNNNNNNNNNNNNNNNNNNNNNNNNNNNNNNNNNNNNNNNNNNNNNNNNNNNNNNNNNNNNNNNNNNNNNNNNNNNNNNNNNNNNNNNNNNNNNNNNNNNNNNNNNNNNNNNNNNNNNNNNNNNNNNNNNNNNNNNNNNNNNNNNNNNNNNNNNNNNNNNNNNNNNNNNNNNNNNNNNNNNNNNNNNNNNNNNNNNNNNNNNNNNNNNNNNNNNNNNNNNNNNNNNNNNNNNNNNNNNNNNNNNNNNNNNNNNNNNNNNNNNNNNNNNNNNNNNNNNNNNNNNNNNNNNNNNNNNNNNNNNNNNNNNNNNNNNNNNNNNNNNNNNNNNNNNNNNNNNNNNNNNNNNNNNNNNNNNNNNNNNNNNNNNNNNNNNNNNNNNNNNNNNNNNNNNNNNNNNNNNNNNNNNNNNNNNNNNNNNNNNNNNNNNNNNNNNNNNNNNNNNNNNNNNNNNNNNNNNNNNNNNNNNNNNNNNNNNNNNNNNNNNNNNNNNNNNNNNNNNNNNNNNNNNNNNNNNNNNNNNNNNNNNNNNNNNNNNNNNNNNNNNNNNNNNNNNNNNNNNNNNNNNNNNNNNNNNNNNNNNNNNNNNNNNNNNNNNNNNNNNNNNNNNNNNNNNNNNNNNNNNNNNNNNNNNNNNNNNNNNNNNNNNNNNNNNNNNNNNNNNNNNNNNNNNNNNNNNNNNNNNNNNNNNNNNNNNNNNNNNNNNNNNNNNNNNNNNNNNNNNNNNNNNNNNNNNNNNNNNNNNNNNNNNNNNNNNNNNNNNNNNNNNNNNNNNNNNNNNNNNNNNNNCCGGCUCCACCCAUGCCUACGGCUAUACCGCUACCCCAGCCGCCGCAACCUCCGCAGCAGCCCCCAGAAGCGGAUAUUAAUUUAGACGAUCUAGAUUUUGUGUAAUUGAUGAAUUAUAUAUUGUUUUAUGUGCUUAUUGUUGUUGUUGGUUAUAUGGAAUUGUUUUGGUAUAUUUUGCAACUUGCUUGGAAUGAUAAUUUAGAAAUUUCCGGUUUUUUUUUUUACUGGAAUGGACUUAUAGCCGACGAAAUACGCAAUAAUUCGUGGGCUAUAGUAUUUUAAAUUUUUUUUAAAUAAGGUUUAGCCUACGAAUUAUGGCACAUUUCGUCGGCUAAACCCUUCUAAAGCCGACGAAACAUACUAUAUUUCGUCGGCUUUAGUUAUUUUUUAAUUUUUAAUUAAACACUUUAGCCGACGAAAAAUUUAAGAUAUUCGUCGGCUAAAGUAUGAGAAAAAACCGACAAUAUGUUUUUCGUCGGCUAAACUCUUGGACUAUAGCCGACGAAUAUCUUAAAUUUUUUGUAGGCUAAAGUCUGGGAAAAAAACGGACGACAUUUUUUUCGUCGGCUAAACUCUGGGAUUAUAGUCGAUGACGUCUUCUAGUUUCGUCGUCUAAAAUCAUCGCCGACGACCUUUUCCCGACGAAAAGUUAGUCGACUAGCCUUCGUCGGUUAAGAUCUUAGCCGACGAAUUAAGCUAACAGGCCGAUGAAAAAGUUUCAUCGGCUAAAGUACUUGUCCUGGUAGUGUAACUCCAUAUAAGUAGCAAAUUUGAUUUAAUUCUUCUCUGUAUAAAAGCGUAAGUGAGAUAUAAAGUGGUGCCUCCAAACAGGGAAAUUCUUUUUGCAAGUAGUGUUAAUUCUAAAUGUUUCUUCAUUUCUUCAGUAUAGAAAUAUCAGAGAGAGAUAAAGUGCGAAAAAGAGGAAGGACUUGAAUAGAAAAAGUUUACCUGAUAUGUUUCUACUCUUAUGUCACUUCAGAUAUGGAAAAAACAUGCAUACAACACGAAUGUCCCCAACAUUUAAAUUCAACAGAAAGAUUAUGAGUCAUGAUGGGAUUACCUCAAGUACCAUGUGAAGCAAUUGGAAAGUGGCACGCAUCCCAUUAUCUCUUGAAGUGAAGCGAAGUUCCUCAGUGGGCUCUGAUGAGCAAUUACUCAAAUGGUUCACGCAGAAAGUUCUACCUGAUCUGAGUAUAUAAUGAUCUGAGUAUAUUUCUCAUAUUACCAUGCCAUGUAAAGUUGUAAACAUCUUGCAAGUACUGCAAUGUAACUUGGCCUUAAUGAUUAUGCAAUACUAUAUAUAAUGAUCUGAGUAUAUUUCUCAUAUUACCAUGCCAUGUAAACAUCUUGCAACUUCUGCAAUGUAACUUAGCUUUAAUGAAUAUCAUAAGCAUACGUCCCAUGAAAUCUACUAUUAAUAAAGCAAAUUGUUGUCUGAAUGGUUAAAUUUUGAACUUCUUAUAACACCCUUGAUUGAUUAAAAUUUCAAGUUUAAGGAUUUAUAAAAUCAUGGGCAGAAAAGAAACUUCAAAAUUAGAAAUAAAAAAUAGAAAGAAAAAAAAACAAAAAGGAUUGUAUAGACAAACGGCAAUUGUCAGUUAUUUUUUGAAUUGGACUCUUUUUCUAUAAGGGAGAGAAAAAGUAGAGAUGGAGUAAUUGCAAUAAAAAAAAUAACAAAAUUAAUUUAUAAUAAGAGAACAAACUUAAAUUAAAAAAAGAAAACUAUAUUAUACAGAAUAUAAUUUUUUCACCAAGGUAGUUACUUUUUUCUUUUUUCUUUUUUCCUAUAAAAAACACAAGUUGUUAUAAACUAAGAAUGUGACAGAGAGAAAAGAGAAGAACAAAAUGUAGGAGGAGGAAGAAAUGUCACUUUCAUUCUCAUUAGGCUCCUUUAUAUAGGAGUAUGAUUUACAUAUCAAGUACAUAACUAAUGAGUAUUUACAAGGACAUCCACAUAUAUUAUAAUAUUUACAACACUCCCCCUUGGAUGUCCAUUAAUAAUCUGAUGUUGGACGCGCUUAGUGUUGUCUCGUUAAAAUCCUUGCCAGGUAAUAAAAACCCUGUGGGAAAAAACAACCCUGGUCGAAGGAGAAAAAGAGUGCAACGCGCAUAUGUCCUAGCUAGCAUACUUCUGGAUGCUCCCCCUGAUGAGAUUCUUCCCUGAUUGUUGCAAGCUUCAUGUACAGUAAAUAACAGUUUGAUUUGUCUAUCACUGAAGUGAGAUCCUGUUCGUUUUGCAAACCGGGGCUCAUCACAAGAUUUUCAUACCUGCAAAGUGAAGGCAAUACCAACAGAGCUAUACAAUUUAAUAGGCCUUACCUCAUAUUAUAAUGUUAGAAACAACCUCACAUGUUCAAAUUCAUACAUUAUGUAAUAACUAAGCAGUAGAAGCUAAUUAACACAUUACUAUGUAUGGUUCAAAACCAUUGGAAGAUUAGCAUGGCAUAUCUAGCCACUCAUAUCAAUAUUUUUGUUUAUUGAUUGAUACAUCUCGUAUAUGCUCUUCAAGAGCUUUAAGCAAUUCAUAACUUCGCGAAAGUUAGAAUAUGUAGCAACAUAAUCCGAAUUCGGUUUUGUAGUCCAAUCAUAAUACUCAUUGAGGCAAUUUUGAUCACAUUAACUAUAACAGAAUGAAUAUAUAUGAGCUAGCUUUAGACUAUCGAUUGCAUGAGUUAACUUUAGUUUAACAGCCCAGCAUAACUAGAUAUGCUCACCUUUGGGCCUCCCCCUCAUGGCUUUCUUCUUGGGUUCCAACCCAAGACACGUCUCACUAAUAGGAGUUGUGUUUGCAUGUAUAAGGCAUAUUACGUCAUUUCCCUUAGGCGAUAAGGAAUCUCAUAUUCAGACUCUCUCAAGUAUUCAUGGAUCUAUUUACGUUCGAAUCAUUCAUGUAUUUGGAUCAUUUAAGGAUUUGAUGAGCAAUACGGUUAUAAUGACGCUGUACUUUUGAGGUUUUGCUUUUUAGCAAAGUCUUUUAAGAUCCUUAUAAUAUACGAUGACAACUGCCGUAAGUCUCUUGUCAAUAACUAUAUGUAACACUGUACUUAUAGAAAAAUUGUCACGUAUAAGGAAAUAUAUUUGUAAUCCCCAUGUCUCUUGUAGACAUUGUGCCAUAGUGAUUUAUUUUCACUGUGAUUAAUACCCUUUUGAAUCAUGUAGGGUUAAAGGUCUAAUUAUCUCAUCACGUUUCAUAUAUUCAGUUCAUUGGAAUUGCCUCUAUCCAAUUUGGCCAAUAAUAUGCAUUGACGACAUUCAUAAUGAAACGUGGUAGUGCAUCAUACAAUCCUUAACGGUCUUUAGUAGCUACCAUAUGUAAAUUUUCAUCGAUGAUUAUCAUUCAUAGAUCCCACACAUUCUUAUAUGCAUGCAUUAGCUAUUAUGAGCUUAUUAAUAUUGGAUACCUAUGCCACUUCUGGGGCAAAUAUUGUCACUUCUACGACAAACAUCUCUCAUAGAUGAAUUAUAUCUAGCGAAUGUGGAUCUAUAUUCAUAAUAUCAUAAAACAUUAUAGGACAUGUAUAAUCUUCUAUUUUCAGGAGUUUAAAACUUUAGACCUGGUGGAUACAUUCCACUCCAAAUUCACGCCGUUAUUCAAAUGACAAUAGUCUUUUCUCUUCCCCUAACGGCGGGAACACUGUCUUAUUUUGAUCAUGCAUAAAAAUGCGUUUAAAUGUAUAUCACUUCCUUUCGAGUGAAGAUGUCCAUUGGCUGGUGGCAAACCCAAACCAAGCUUAAGGUCAAAAAAUAUUAAAUUCAUGAGUAUCAACCAUAUUGAUGUAUAAUUGUAUCACCAAGAUAUCAUCAUCUGAUGGUGUACUUUUAACCUUUGUAUGUGUAAUAUUGUAGCCGCCAUAUUAGGAACUCGGACAUUUUUAAUGACAUUCUCGUUGGUCUCAGAGAUUUUACCCAAGUAAAUCUUCUUCCACUAACAUAUAAUUUUGUCAUCAAUAGUUUUUAUUAAGUCACUAGCUGUGAUAUUCCUCAAGCUCAAAAUGAGACAAUAGGUAAAUAUUCCAUAACAAUUCAUGUUGUUCUUCAGGAACAAUCUUUUUCCCUUUCGUAACAAGAGAAGUGUCUCAUUAAAGUGACAAACCAACAAAAAAAUAUGCAGCAAAUAAACAAUUUGCUAUGAGUAGCGUUAGCUAGCAGGCAUCAAAAGUUGUUACUAAUUUCAAACAACACUGUAGGUAAAAUAUGAUGUAACUAGUCAUGCGAAAAUAAUUAAUUUGGUUCAAUGAACUUCUGGUUCAUGACAUUAUGUGUCUCACUAUAUUGUAGAAUUUAACACACGUAAUAGGCGACAUAGCGAGAUACUGUCCAUUUUGGAUCUCGCUCGCUUUACAAUUUUGUGCUUGAGUUGCCAACCCAAAAUUAGUCUCACUAUGGGGAGGUAUGUUUGCAACACAUCUCCUCCCCUCCUUCGGGUGAUGUAAGAUCUCAAUACAUAUUCUGAAACCAUAUUGAAGCAACUUCUUGUAAAGAAGGGAUAUUAUGUGCUCUUCCGGAGCCAUCAAUCAUAUGUGUAAUCGAAUCUUCAAGUUCAAAUUUAUAAUGUUAGAACUUCAUGUACUCAGAUUUCAUAUGUUGAACUUCUAGUUCAAAUAAAUUUGGUGCCGGAAACUUCAGGUUCCAGAUAACUGAACUGAAACUUUAAGUUCACUAAUUUAAUUUACAUACUCAGCUUCAGGCUUGAGCUUUUAAUUUACACGUUAUCUGGAAUUCUUAUGUUCUAUAAUUCAGUAAUUUGAACUUCUGGUUCAAAAACAUGACAUUUGAAAUUCAUAUGUUCGUGCUAUAAAGUUGCUAGCUCGUAUGAGUAACAAUAAAAUUUAGAAGAGAAAAAUAAUUAACAAACUCUAAAAUGGUAAGGAACAAGGAUAAGUAAAAUGUGAGAAUGGAAACUUAUAGUUCCAUUGGUGAAGAAGUACAAGAACUUCUGGUCUAGUUACCUUCACGAAUAUGAUAAUCUUGUUUCUCUCCUCUAAUUUCACAAUCACAUUGUAUCAAAAUAAAUUGGAGCUUCAUGCUCUCAUAUAAUUGUGGAUCACAAGAAAACCAUAUUGUAUAGCUCUAAGGAGCUUCUGGUCCUUGUUGAUUACAUAAGUUUUGAGAAACUUCAUUUCAAUAAUUUGACAAUAUCACUUUCAAAGAACUUCAGGCCCUCAUAUAGUUUGAUCAAGAAACUCCAGGUUUCGAUCAAUUUUAAUUACAAAACCGAAUAAGGUUAAGAAAAAUAAAACAUACUUGAAUUUCAUAAUCUCAUACCAUGAUAUUGUUUCUUCAAUAUAUGUGGGCCAAAUUAGUCAUAUUCUCAUGACAUGCACAAUGAGUGUAUUUGCAAUGGGUACAUGCAGAGCUUAAAUAGCUACGUGUUUCCUCCAAUUCUCAUAAAUAUGCAUAAGGACCAUCUUUCAAUAAGAUGAGUGAUCGGGAAAAAACUGCCGGUAGUCAGAUUUCUAGCAAAAAACAUCUUGCCAAUGGUCAGAUACUCUGGACAACAUCACAAAAGAUGCAACCGGUAGAGGAAAGACAACAAUAUAUGUGCCCUUUUUCUAUCAGAACCUCUAAUCUUUCCACUCAAGUAUAAAGCGAGCUAGGAAGUCUCAGCCUACAAAGGACCGAGAAACAUGGUCACGGGAGAACACCUCUUAUGUCCUUCAUUUAUGUCCAUGGUGUUACUAUGAUACCCUACAUCUCCCCACUUAUCAUAUUACUCGUGAGAAACUUCAGACCCUCUAUAGUUAGAUAAUGAGGCUUCAUGUCUCAAUUAUGGAGUUCACUGUAAUUCUCUCGGAAUUCAUAAAAUACUCGUGAGGAACUUCAGGCCCUCUGUAGUUGGAUAAAGAGGCUUCAGGUCUCAAUUAUAGAGUUCACUGUAAUUCUCUCGGAAUUCAUAAAACGAAGAAUGUCGUGAAAUGAAUAGAUUAAAUUCAUGCAAAUAAUGAAAUGGGAAAAUACAUACCUUAGGCCCUUUAAUAAAUCUGAAAUUAUGGAAACAAUAAGUUUCAUGAAAGACUAAUACCACAACAAAAAGGUUAGUAAAAAACCAAUUACUAGACCUGAAUUGAUAAAACAAUAAAUAGAGGUUAUCAAUAGUCAUAAAAUUCCAAAACUACUACUUAUUAUGGAAACAUCCAUCCAGGCUAGGUAAUGAAACCAAUAAAAUGUAAUUAAUAUACAUAUAAUUCAAAACCUAAGAAUGAUGAUGUUUUGGGUUGUUAAUGGGCAAAACCGCAUAAAGAAACCGAUGAAUUUCCAUGUUAUUAAUAGCUGAAAUUUGGUAUAUAUAAAUGCUUGUAAAUGGUGCACAUAAUUGUGAACAAUGACUUUUGAUUGCCAAAUUAUGACCUGAAAAGUAUUUGUGUGCACAUAUUGGGGAGUAAAGUAACCAUAUUCACUCAUAUAAUAAGCUUAAAUUAAGACACUCAUAUCAAUCACAAUAACUCGGUGUCCAGAAUACCAUUAUGAUAGGCUUAAUAUUAAUCGGUGUUAAGAACACCCCCAUUGAUCAUGUCUUUAACAUUUCAAUUUAACCACAAAAACAUUGUCAACUUGAGUGAAAUGACAUCCACUCAUGGCUCAGAUUUCCCAAGAGACUGAUUAAUAUGAUUAAUUUUGGUCUUAUUGCCAUUCAAAGAGGGCUUUGUAAAUUACCAUUAAAUGUUAGGGCAUGCAUCAAUGGGCCGAAAAUGGUUAAGCCAUAACUAUGACCAUAUCAUGAUCCAUAUUAGAAGGCGCAAAAGCGCCCAUUCAUAUCAUGCUCUUAGUAACUGAUCAACCAAUGCUUGCCAAAACUCAAACGGAUCUUUCACCGUUAGAUACAUGUCUUUCAUUCUCUUUUUCAAGACCACAUCGAUCAUCAUAGAUCUAAUUAUGUUAUUUAGAACUUCAUGUUCAUAUGAAAGUAAUAUCAAUAUCGAAACUUCAGGUUCGAAUUUUGUGAACAAUGGAUCACAUGUAUAUGCACAAAACUUCAGGUUUAUGCAAACAAUUAGACUUGCAAUUCUAAUGUAAUAUUUGAACUCCAAGUUCAUAAUCUCAAAAAGUUCAUAUUUGAGAAUUAUUAGCGAAACUUCAGGCUCACUAAUAUAAGCAAUUGUAAACAUAAAAUUGAGUAAUAUAAACAAAGUAUAUAUGUAGACAAGAUAUAAUCAAAAUAGAAGUGAACUCAUAGAUCGUGAGUAUGGAUAAUAAGCAACAAAAGUUGCACCAAUAUCUCAUAGAUCGUCAUAGAGUUUAUGGAACGAAUGAGCGAAAACGUGCUGAUAACGUGUUAUAAACUAAGAAUGUGAUAGAGAGAAAAGAGAAGAACAAAAUGUAGGAGGAAGAAGUGUCACUUUCAUUCUCAUUAGGCUCCUUUAUAUAGGAGUGUGAUUUACAUAUCAACGACAUAACUAAUGAGUAUUUACAAGGACAUCCACAUAUAUUAUAAUAUUUACAACACAAGUUUGUUUAUCAAAAGAAAGAAGUUCAUCAACGCAAAACACAAUAACAAGACACUAAAGCCUAAACCCAGAGCAAAGACUGCUCCUUGGCCCAAAACAGUUAGACCAACAGAGGCAGUAUAGAAAACAUUGUAAAACGGCUCACAAAAAACAGGCCAGGACUUUGCUAUUUAGCAAUUACUUAUGAGAUGUGAAAUAUAUUUCACAUGAUUACACUUUGUGAUAGCUAAUUCAUUUAACAAGAACCUAUCUCAAGAUACAAUAUAAUGCAUUAUUGAAGAGGAAAGAAUCUCCUCCUACAUUGAACAGUAUUGGACAAAUUCGUUCACGAAUCAAAUACAAGUAAACUGCAUACCUACUCCUUAAAAAGUUGCCAACACGACCUGCCUCGCUAAGAGUUCUUACACGCACAACAACAGAACCUUUUGAUUCAAAACUUUCAAUAGCCCACCCACCACCGACUACAAGCCUCAUCAAACCUCCCCGAGCCUCACUUUUUGAAAUCUGUGAUUGAAGCAUAAAAUGAAGACAUGAAUUUAGUGUAAUUACAGUAACUAUUCUCAUGUGUUAACCUACAUGAUUAGAAAAAACAAAAAAACACAUUAAUAAUUACUGAUACUUAAUUAAAUUGAAGUCUAAAGGAUCAAACAAUAUUUUGGGUCUUCAAUUUCCAGCUUUGCUUCAAAAAUAUCAAAUUAAUUAUUUUUCCUAUAUUGAUGAGCAAAACCAGUGAAACUAUAAUUAAGGAUUAAAGAGCCUCAUACCCUUAAUUUGGAAGAGAUCACCCACCAUGAUCAAGAUCAUACAACCCAAAACUGAAUAUAUUAUGUUCUUAUAUGUGGCUUAUUAUGGUUUAAAUAGAUACUUCACAUUUUCAGACUAAGUUAGGGAAUCUGAGAUGGAUCCGUGUAGCCCAAGUUAGGGAAUGAUUAUAUCGAAAAUUCAACAUAACAUCUCCCUUAAAAAUGGACUACCCCAAAACAUGUAAAUGAAUCAAUAAGUACACUUGUAAUUUCUCACAUCUCAAAUAACUCCCAUUCAGGACCUCUUGUCCCUCAUAAUCCAUCAAUAUAGAAAAUAAAUUUAUUAACCAAAAUUUAACAAUUUCACCUGCUAGGCUAAUACCAACACAUCCUAGGAGGCAUAACAAUGCUCCAAAACACUAAAAAUGGCCAUGAAAGGCGCAGCCGCGGUGGCUCAAUAUGGCCAAAUCCUCAACUUUUAAAAUGUCCAAAACUAUAUGCAAUACUAUACUCAAAAGAUGGCCCAUGAGGUAAGGAACAACUUUAUACCUCGGGGUUUCUCCAAAUUCUUGAUGGUUUGGCCAGAAUUCACAGAUUUAGCAGAAUCCUUCUCUCCUUCGAUUUGUUACACACAAGUAAAAAUAAAUUAAAAGCCUAGUAUAUAUAGAAUACCCGUGAAAAGAGGAAGAGAUUGAUACCAGUUUUAUGGCCGGAAUCGGCGCCGGCGACGUGAUCUUUGGAUGCGGCCCAUUCUCUCUCUCUCUCNNNNNNNNNNNNNNNNNNNNACUCUCUCUCUCUCUCUCUCUCUCUCUCUCUCUCUCUCUCAACGUGAAACAAAUGAAAGUGGGGGAGGGGCUGAUCCAUUUAUGCACGGGAUGAGAUGAAGUGACCAAAAUGCCCUCCAAAUGAAAAUAUUCACAUUUUUCUCGUUGUAACUCCGUUUCAUAAACCCGUUUGUGCUUGCAUUCUUGUAUCAUCGUGCUCAACUUUCCUACGUUAAUAAGAGCAUCUUUAGCUAUUUAGAGCAUCUUUAGUAAUGCUAGUCAUUUUUAAGUUAAAUUUUAGUCAAAUUAACUAAAAUGUCAUUUUGGCUAGUCACUUUAGAAAUGUGGCUGCAUCAAUGCUUUUUAUUUUAGCUAACAUUACAUCAACAUUAUUCUUCAAAUAGAAAUUAAAUAAUUUAUAUAUAUUUAUAUAUCACAUAAAAUAUCUUACAAGCAAUGCAUUAAAUUAUAGCUAGCCUCAUAUGAGUCAUCUCGCUAGCUAAACAUAGCUAAUGAGAUAGCUAAAAGUCAUAAUAGCUCAAAUUUGGCUAAUCUGCUGGAGCUCCUAAAACAUCCAAAAAAGCUAAACACGCUCUAUAAAAUAGCUAAGAAGUUAAAAUAGAGAGUCUGUUAAAGAUGCUAUUAUAGUCAAAUUUUAGCUAAUAUAGCUAAAAAAUCAUCUCAACUCAAGUUUGGUUAUUUUUUAAAUAAAAAAAUGAAUUUAAUGUGUUUUAAUAUUAUAUAAAAUGAAUUAAAAGGAAUACAUUGAAUUAACAUAAAUUAUAGAGAGUUUCAGAGAUAAAAAAAAUUCCAGGAAGUUCAUCUCCUUAAUGUUGGAACUGCCGUGAAUAUGAUUUUUAUUAUUAUUUUUUUGUUCUUUUUGUUAUUUUAGAUCAAGGGUAAAAUUGGAUUAACAUAGGUAAUAUUAUGAUGUAGGGCGAACAAUGUAUUUUAUAGAGUGACAAUAGCCGCACCCUUUUCGUUUUUACAUUAUACAACAAAUUUCUUACUUAAAUAACACGUUUGAAUUUUGAAAUAUAAAUAUUUCGUACUUUAAGUAGUUGUGAAAUUGUUUGUGAGGAUGCAUGAUGAAAAAGAAAGGGAAUAAAAAAUUAGGCAGCAGCAAGCUAGCGAUUGUCGUUCAAACAACUGAUACGUCGACGUUGGUGCAAAUCAUGAAUUAUAUAAGACCAAGAGAUUCGACUCCAAAGUUUUGCUCAGCGUGAAGAUUAAUGGAGCAAUAGUUAUUAAGGAUUUAAGGAUGUCCAGCAAAUCCACAGGUAUUUUGACACGACCCACCCCGAAUUUCACCCUGAAACCCGGAGUAAGUCGUGCGGGGACCACCUCCAAGGAAAAUUUACUGAAAAAAUUGGUAAAACCUCCCUUGAAGAUGGACAACCCUAACCCGAAAAAUCUCCAAUUCACACACUUACUACAGCACUUCCAAAAAUAUCACACAAUUAUCCAGCUAAAUAAAAGCAAAUAUUAUUCUUCAGCAAUUAUAAACAUAAAGUCAAUCGACCAAGCACACCACCGGAAUAAUAUACAAUAAUCUCAAAGUAUUCAGAGCUACUAGACACUAACGGAAGCAAGAAAACACUAGUAGGUUAAACAGGACCUACUGAUGAAAACUGGCGGAAAAGCGGGUAACUAUGCCUCGUCUCCUACUAGGUCCAACCUGAACUCUGCAGACUGGGCAAUUUAAAACGAAGAGCCCAGGGGAAAACAUGUGGAACAGUUAAAGUGAGUGGACAAAAAUAAAUUAAAUAAAAAUAUUUCUUUAUGCUUCCCCAAUUUAAUUUUCAAAUAAAAUAAUACUGCAUGCAAUCGCUCAAAAGCCCUCAACUCAAAAACUGGCAACUUCACGACCAGCACCGGCUAGUCUCCAAACUUAAUAAAAUACAGCCUCUCAGGCUAAAUUAUAUAUAAACAUAUAUAAGUGUAUAUAUUCACACUCGUCAGACUCCUUGUAUAAAUUCUAAGAACAAAUUAGAAAAAUAGAAAUUCAUACAAGGCUACUACGCUUGCGUCUAACGCUCACGUCACACCAUAAUGGAAUUGUACCUCAUUAUGGCGGAAAAAGCACGAGUGUAUAUACGUGUGGACUCCCUAUAUGAAAACCUAAAUAAACCAAAUGAGAAAAUAGUUUUCAUAUAGGGCUACUACGCUUGUGUCUAACACUCACGUCACACCAUAAUGGUAUUUUACCUCAUUAUGGCGGAUAAGCACGUAUGGCUAGCUAGCAUUUACAUAUACAUACUAUCAUCAUAAACAUCCAAUAAACAUAUCCACCGAAAAUCUCAUUUUCGGAAUCUCUCCAAAGGAGGAAAAUUGCCAAAUAUCCGAGAAAUAAAUAAAUCUCAGGAAAAGAAUUAAAUGAUCAACAGAUAAUUCAUCGCAUGCUUUUCAAUUAAAAUAAAGGUCCACUCACAAAUUAGGCCUAAGCCUGAUGACGCUCCGAGGCUUUCUCUGCUCGGGCCUCCUCUCGUCCUGUUCCAAAUAUAUAAUUAAUUUCCCACCAAAAAACCAAUAUUUAAACAAAAUGGGUAAAAUUAAACGUGAGCCUCCCACACACUCAUCGUUGCCCAAAUUCGCCAUUCUUAACUCAAUACGGCUCAAACUUCGCCGAACAUACCGGCAGCCGUAAAAACAAUUUCCCACAGAAUACGACUUAAAUCCUACGGCCGGAUUCUACAUUAAUUAACCGCCAAAAUACCAAACUUCGGAAAUUCACAAACCUAUCCAAAACUCAACCAAAAAUUCCAUAACUCACUUCAAUAAACUCCCCUUAAUAUUCCACAUUUAAAAACAUAAAAAUCUCCCAACCAGCGGCGGCCGGAGGCCAAUUCCGGCGACCUCCAAAACCUAUGAAAUUUUGACAGAAUAAUCUCCUCAUCAUGCUCUACAACUUUCCUGACCAGCACAAACCCAAAAUCCAAGCCUAACUAGGGCAAUCGAACACAAACACUUAAAAGCCCUAUAAAUUUCAACUCCACAUUUCUCCUUACCUAGCUCAAGAGAGGGAGAGUCCUUUUAGGGCAAGGCUGCUGGGUUGGAGGGCUACAAAACCGUACCAAGCUUGCCCGGAUUGGUGGCCGGAGGAGGGAGUUCCGGCGAAAUGCUUCCCGGCGUCUCCGGCAGGAUUUCUCCUCUUCCGGCGGGUUAGAGGCUCGGGGGCUAGGCCGGGGAGGGAGAGGAGGUGGCGGGGCUCUGAACUGGGAUGGAGCGGCGGCAGCUGGCUGGCCGGACGGCGGCAACUGGUGGCUGGGAGCUUCCGGCGGAGAGAGAGCACGGGAGGGAGAAGGAAGAGAAAAGAGAGAAGAAGAGAAAGGGAGGAAAAUGGGUUGGGCCUCCCAAAAAUAAUACCCGAAUAAAAAUUACCUUUUACUAGCUAAAAUUUACUAUUUUUACCGUCGUCGUAUUUUCCUCUUACGAAUAAUCCUCCGCACAUAAUCGUCCCCGAAACCCCUCUAGGGACCAAUUAAACUAUUAACUCAAUGACGGAGACAGUAAAAUUCUUAUUAUAAACCAGCUAGUAAACAAGGUAAAAAUAUAAGAGUCAAGAUGUGACAUAUUUUCUAUUGGUUUGACGGGAAGAGCUCAUCUUCUUAGGGACGGAGCAACUGCUAGCAACACAGAUGAAUUUCAAGGUUGUUAAAGGGACCGAGCAAGUGUCCAUCAAAAUUUCCACAUCAGUGACCACAAUGAUCGCAUGAAUAGAAUUAUGAUACUGAAACCAAAAGAGAAAAAAUAUGUUGCCAAAAGUGUAUUUUAUAUAUCCCAAAUUGGCAAAAGAGUAAAUAUAAAGCAAAGCAAGUCGAUCACUUUCAUCAAAAUUGAAGUCAUCAUUCUGAUUUGUGGGUUCAUAUAAUGAAAUCACAAAGGUGGUACACGUUGAUGGCCAACGUAACCAGACCACUAGAAAUGCUUGAAGCAGCUCUGCAAACAUCCUAUGCAACUGUGAGAAAAAAGAAAAUCAAUACUAUUUCUGAUAACUACAAAUAUAAAAUAGAAACAGUCGACAAGUCCAUUACUGUCCAGAUACUAUCUUCACUAACUGCUUUGAAACCAAUCACUGGCCUACGAAAGUGAUAUUGAGACCAAAUUCCUGAAAUCGAAACCUAUAGAUGCUCUCCUUGUGUGCACAAAAGAUGCAACAACUCCUGCACCAACAAGCCUUGGGCCACAUGAAAUUUCAAAAACCAAUCAAUCUGACACUCGGGAACCUCCUUAACUUAAUCUCACAUUUUGUCUGGUCUUGAUCAUCCGCUUGAGGGUUGCAAGCCAAAAGUUGCAUUCAUCCCACUCGGUAGUGGUAAGAUGUAUCUAAUAAGGACGAAACCAAAGAAAAUUUAAGCAUAUAUUCAUCGUUUGACAUACAUAAGGGUUGAAGUCUCCAUUUUAGUACCUGAAUUGUUAGCGCAGUGUUGAAAUCACCGUUAUCCAGUGCCUGGCACAGCUGCACAAGAUUAUCAGCCGCAUUUUUAGAUAUGUCUCCACUGUUAAGUUUGGCAAACAAUGCUCCUAUCUUCUUCGAAUUAUCUUCUAUUUCACGCUUCUUAGCUGGGUUCGCACGUGAACCUCCCAACGCUUCAGAGGUUUCAUUGAAAAGUCUCCCUAGUGUUGCGAUUAUGGGCUUUUGGUGGGCUGUUAUAUACCACAAAAAUGCACUCAAGUUAGAAAAUUGAAGUAACUUGUCUUCUUAAGCUGCAAUAUGAAGUUUGCUUCAUAUAAAGAUAGCCCAAGUUCAAAGGGAAGCAAACCCCCACAGAAUCAGAAGGUUUAACCAGAUUAAAGCAAAAAAUUACCAGGAACUUUUGAAGUAUCAGCUGUCUGUAUGGUAGGUGGUGGAGCUGGAGCCACAGACUGUCGAGCUGGAGCAGGGGGACUAGAUGGCUGCAGAGUCCCCUGAACAACUCCUGGAUUAGUGACUGGCAUAAACCCACUUUGUGGAGGGGGCACAGAUUGUGGCAUCUUAUUUCCGGGAACUGGAUUGACAUGUGAUUGAUGAGGAGCUCCUGAACUAGGCCCUGUUUGCAUAUGUUGAAAAGCACCUCCCUGCUGUAGCAUAAACAGAGAAAACAUUAGAAUAUACAUUGUGGAGAUGGUUCAGACCUUUAAUUUAAAAUCAAGUGCAGAUCUACAGACAGGAUACAACUGAGAACCCAGCGAGUUGGUGUUGGCCUGCUGAUAUUUUUCUCCAUUUAACAAAGCAGGAGGAGUCGAAGGAAUAAAGGUCGCGGGAGGCUGAGUAGGUGCAGGAGUUGUAUAGAAUUUGUCCUACAAGAAAAACAUAUACAAGUCAUAUGAAAAUGUUCCUUGUAUACCACGAACUCAAGGAUUAGAAAAAAAAAAAAAAAAAACUAAUUAAAAAAAUGACUUGUAGGUCUAAAUUUAGAAACACGAUAUUAUGAAAGAAUAUAUAUAUUAAUAACAAAAGGCAAAGGUACCUUUGGUACUUGAGGUGUUUGGAUAGGAACAAACAUGUUAGGAGGCUGUGAUGGAGGCUGUGACGGAGGCUGGUGGAAAGGGGCGGGAGAAUAUCCAUGAUACGGAGGAUUCGCAGGUUCAGGAUAAACAUCAUACGUAUUGCCAGGACCACGAGGUUGCACAUGUGUCGGAGUUGGUUCCUACCCAAUUUAAUAAGAAAACGUUCAAGAUAAAGUUAAUCCACAAUGAAGACACUUGUUAGGCAACAAAACAACGACGACAUAUCUGAAUGAACACCUGAUAAUAUGAAACGUUCCCUGGCCUGUAAGGGUUUGGUUCUGGAUAUAUAUUAGCUGGUGCAGGGUUUUCAAACUUGGCGACUUUCUCUGUUGCAGCAAAACAACAGAUACAAUCCAUCAGUGGUGAUGAAUAAUGCAGGUAUGAGGAAAAGGCUUCAUAUUUGAGAUAUGUCAACAUCAAGUGAAUCUUAUAUCAUGUAUAUAUAAUAACUUUUACACAAUUGAUAACAAUCAUCAUAUUAUUAUUGAUGGCUGCCGAACAUGAUCUUCAGCAAAGAAAUAGUACAUGAGGCUUCUUUAUAAAAUAAAAUAAAAAAUAAAAACAUUUUCAAAAAAGUUCGUACAAAUAAUGAAAAUUUUGAAAAGAAUAAAAAACUAAAUAAAUAAUUAUCGCCUGAGCACCUGUCAAGUGCUUCCUCCUACAAAAGAUUUUUGCCACAUUUAAAAUGUUCUUUUCGGUCUUCUAGAAGUAACACAAAGAGGCCCCAUAAUGAACAGCAAAUACAGCAUUUCCAAAAAGUACAUACCAGGUUCUGUAGAAAGAGCAAUACGAUCCCUUAAGAUCACAAGUUCAGGUGGCAAUUCAUCAGUGCCCAAGAGUUUCAGGUACUCCAGUGCUGUUGUUAAAAGACCUUGACUAGCUAAAAUUUCAGCAUAUUUCUCAACAAGUUUACACAAAGAUGCACUAAAUCGCUUCUGUCCAGUUGCCAAGGCAAGUACUAUAGUCUUCUCCAUUAAUUCCUAAAGCAAAUACAUAAUUUUGUCAAAUUCAAGUCCUGAAAGCUUCGAUGCACUAUAAGAUACAAUAUAUGUAUAUAUACACACAUAUAUAUAUAAAACAAAGUUACCUGAAGAAGGUCAACAUAGGAUCUCCCUUCGUGAUCAGUUGUCAGAUUCCUUGACCAAAUAUCUACUGUCUUAUCAAUAUUUCCAGCACAUAUAUAACAAAUAGUUGCUGCGAGGGUAUUACCAGCAGCUAUAAGUCUGGCAGCAAGCAUAUUACACAGGUCUUCCCACGCCUCUACUGAUGAAAACUGUUGGAUCAUGAAAAAGAAAAUGACAUAAAUCACAUAUAUAGCAAUUGUAAGUGCAGUUAAGAAGACUCGGAAAUAGUUAUGUAACACCUAUUCAAAUGCACAUAUGUUCUAAAACUUCACUUAUUGCAUAUAUAAUACAUUUUAUCAGACUAUUCGAGCAUGGAACUUACACUACAGAGAACAGCAAGUGUUUCCUUCCAGAAUUUGAGGGGUCUGGUGUUAACAAGACUUGAUAGAUCAUUGCUCACCAUUGCAGAAACAAUCUGACAGCAAACAAAGGUUCCGAUUUCAAAAGAUAAAUCAAAAUAAUUAUUCUACCAUAUUAUUGUGACAGAAAUCAUCACAUGUAAAAAAAUCACGUGGUUUACUGCCUUCAAGGACAAAAGAAGAAGGUUCAAGUACCUUAAGGUAAGGUGAAUGGCUCAACUUAAGGUAUUGAUCCCGAGUGCUCUCCCACAAUGUAGGACCACCAGCAUGAGCAAUAACUAAAGCAUCAGCCAUUUUAUUUGCUGACAUGCACUUUGCAACAGCCCCUUUAUAAUCUCCUACAGCUAAAGCAUGUUGAACUGAUUCAUCAAAUGAUGGAUCAGCACUCUCUUCCAGUUCAUCAUGUUCUUCUUGAACUUGGUCUGUAAUAGGAACUGUGUCCCCCACCACAAAUUUGUCACCAGAGGUUGAAUGAGGAGUGUCAGCUUUAGGACUAGGAAGAUUGUUAAAGAAAUCUUCUCCAUUGUCAGAAGGAAAAAUUGUAGUUUCCUUCUCAUCACCCAAACCAGCUUUGUCAGUUGUUGAAUCCUCAAUCCCAGGUGCAUUGACUUCUGCAGAUAGAUUGUCUUCAACAAUUUCUUUUGUUUCCUCAGGUACAAUGAAACCAAGAUGUGUGAUCAGGUUUGUCCUUGCAGUCCCAUCAUCUUCAAACAUAACCCUUAAUAAUCCCCAUGUUUCCCGGUCAUCAGCAGUC
rnacentral:lncRNA from 1 species